rnacentral:rRNA from 1 species
UACGGAGGGUGCAAGCGUUAUCCGGAUUCACUGGGUUUAAAGGGUGCGUAGGUGGGCAAGUAAGUCAGUGGUGAAAUCUCCGGGCUUAACCCGGAAACUGCCAUUGAUACUAUUUGUCUUGAAUACUGUGGAGGUCAGCGGAAUAUGUCAUGUAGCGGUGAAAUGCUUAGAUAUGACAUAGAACACCAAUUGCGAAGGCAGCUUACUACACAGUAAUUGACACUGAGGCACGAAAGCGUGGGGAUCAAACAGG